rnacentral:rRNA from 1 species
GACGAACGCUGGCGGCGUGCCUAAUGCAUGCAAGUCGCACGCACCGUGCUUGCACGGUGAGUGGCGCACGGCUGAGGAACACGUGGGUACCUGCCCAACCGUGGGGGAUAACGGAGCGAAAGCCUCGCUAAUCCCGCAUACGCUCGACCUCUGGUCGAGGAAAGCGGCAACGCGCGGUCGGAGGGGCCUGCGGCCCAUCAGGUUGUUGGUGUGGUAACGGCGCACCAAGCCUCUGACGGGUAGCUGGUCUGUGAGGACAACCAGCCAGACUGGGACUGAGAUACGGCCCAGACUCCUACGGGAGGCAGCAGCAAGGAAUUUUCCCCAAUGGGCGCAAGCCUGAGGGAGCAACGCCGCGUGCGGGACGACGGCCUUCGGGUUGUAAACCGCUUUUCGAGGGGACGAUUGUGACGGUACCCUCGGAAUCAGCCCCGGCUAACUCUGUGCCAGCCGCCGCCGUAAGAC